rnacentral:rRNA from 1 species
CGAACGGCACCUAUCUUCGGAUAGAAGCGAGUGGCGAACGGCUGAGUAACACGUGGAGAACCUGCCCCCUCCCCCGGGAUAGCCGCCCGAAAGGACGGGUAAUACCGGAUACCCCGGGGUGCCGCAUGGCACCCCGGCUAAAGCCCCGACGGGAGGGGAUGGCUCCGCGGCCCAUCGGGUAGACGGCGGGGUGACGGCCCACCGUGCCGACAACGGGUAGCCGGGUUGAGAGACCGACCGGCCAGAUUGGGACUGAGACACGGCCCAG